rnacentral:rRNA from 1 species
UACGUAGGGACCGAGCGUUGUCCGGAUUUACUGGGCGUAAAGAGCGUGUAGGCGGCCAAACAGGUCCGUUGUGAAAACUGGAGGCUCAACUUCCAGACGUCGACGGAAACCGUAUGGCUAGAGUCCGGAAGAGGAGAGUGGAGUUCCUGGUGUAGCGGUGAAAUGCGCAGAUAUCAGGAAGAACACCAAUGGCGAAGGCAGCUCUCUGGGACGGUACUGACGCUGAGACGCGAAAGCGUGGGGAGCGAACAGG